rnacentral:rRNA from 1 species
GAUGAACGCUGGCGGCGUGCCUAAUACAUGCAAGUCGAGCGAACAGACGAGAAGCUUGCUUCUCUGAUGUUAUCGGCGGACGGGUGAGUAACACGUGUAUAACCUACCUAUCAGACUGUGAUAACUUCAGGAAACCGGAGCUAAUACCGGCUAAUAUUUUGACCCACAUGCUUCCCAAGUUAAAGACGGUCUUGCUGUCACUUAUAGAUGGAUCAGCGGUGCAUUAGCUAGUUGGUAAGGUAACGGCUUAACAAGGCAACGAUGCAUAGCCGACCUGAGAGGGAGGUAGGCCACACUGUAAGUGAGACACGGCACAGACUCAUACGGGAGGCAACAGUAGGGAAUCCUACGCAAUGGGCGAAAGCAUGACGGAACAAAGUGGCGUGAGUGAUGAUGGUCCUAGGAUGGGAAAACGCUGAUAGUAGUGAAGAACAUAUGUGUAAGUAACUGGGCAGAUCUUGACGGUACCGAAUGAAAAAGCCACGGCUAACUACGUG